CAUAGCUCCUCUGCAACACUAAUGCACCGGAUCCCAUCAGAACUCCGCAGUUAAGCGUGCUUGGGCGAGAGUAGUACUGGGAUGGGUGACCUCCUGGGAAGUCCUCGUGUUGCAAGCA
rnacentral:rRNA from 1 species